UGGGUAGGGGAGCUUCCCAUACGGGUUGAAGCAUGACCGUAAGGACAUGUGGACAGUAUGGGAGUGAGAAUGUUGGCAUGAGUAGCGAGAUGUGGGUGAGAAUCCCACAGGCCGUAAACCCAAGGUUGCCAGGGGAAGGUUCGUCCGCCCUGGGUUAGUCGGGACCUAAGCUGAGGCCGAAAGGCGUAGGUGAUGGACAACAGGUUGAUAUUCCUGUACUACCGAUAACCGUUUGAGAGA
rnacentral:rRNA from 1 species